rnacentral:rRNA from 1 species
UUAACUGAAUCCAUAGGUUAAUGAGGCGAACCGGGGGAACUGAAACAUCUAAGUACCCCGAGGAAAAGAAAUCAACCGAGAUUCCCCCAGUAGCGGCGAGCGAACGGGGAGGAGCCCAGAGCCUGAAUCAGCAUGUGUGUUAGUGGAAGCGUCUGGAAAGGCGCGCGAUACAGGGUGACAGCCCCGUACACAAAAGCGCAUGUGCUGUGAGCUCGAUGAGUAGGGCGGGACACGUGGUAUCCUGUCUGAAUAUGGGGGGACCAUCCUCCAAGGCUAAAUACUCCUGACUGACCGAUAGUGAACCAGUACCGUGAGGGAAAGGCGAAAAGAACCCCGGCGAGGGGAGUGAAAAAGAACCUGAAACCGUGUACGUACAAGCAGUGGGAGCACCCUUUGGGUGUGACUGCGUACCUUUUGUAUAAUGGGUCAGCGACUUAUAUUCUGUAGCAAGGUUAACCGAAUAGGGGAGCCGGAGGGAAACCGAGUCUUAAC